rnacentral:rRNA from 1 species
GAUGAACGCUGGCGGCGUGCCUAAUACAUGCAAGUAGAACGCUGAAGGAGGAGCUUGCUCUUCUGGAUGAGUUGCGAACGGGUGAGUAACGCGUAGGUAACCUGCCUGGUAGCGGGGGAUAACUAUUGGAAACGAUAGCUAAUACCGCAUGACAACAGUUAUUGCAUGAUAACUGUUUAAAAGGGGCAACUGCUCCACUACCAGAUGGACCUGCGUUGUAUUAGCUAGUUGGUGAGGUAACGGCUCACCAAGGCGACGAUACAUAGCCGACCUGAGAGGGGGAUCGGCCACACUGGGACUGAGACACGGCCCAGACUCCUACGGGAGGCAGCAGGAGGGAAUCUUCGGCAAUGGACGGAAGUCUGACCGAGCAACGCCGCGGGAGUGAAGAAGGGUUUCGGAUCGUAAAGCUCUGUUGUAAGAGAAGAACGAGUGUGAGAGUGGAAAGUUCACACUGUGACGGUAUCUUACCAGAAAGGGACGGCUAACUACGUG